rnacentral:lncRNA from 1 species
AAGAAUUAGAGGUGGUAAUGAUGUGAACAGGAUUGGUAAUAUGUGAACUCUCGUUUGAAAAUCAGAGAGCGCGCUCAUUUUUAGCAUAAAUGAAAGUUCUCUUCCCUCUGUUUUAUUCCCAGCAUUCAGAAUCCAGACACAAGCUCUCCACGGGGAAGUACAUGCACUGUGCUUACUUUAAGGGGAGAGAGUGUCCAUCAUCUCACACCCAGGAGAUCUACGGUAACCACCAUGUCCGCGACUUAGUUGUUGGAAGAGUCACCUCUGUAGUCCUCCAAGGCAGCAUGGUGCCUGAGAGCUCCGCAGGACACCUGUGACCUAGACUGGGUGGUCCUUGCCCCUCUCCAGUCUUCGGCGGGAAACACUUUAUAAGCAGAUUACUUCUCCGCCCUGCUGCCCGGAGCCAGAUCUCUUGCCAUGCCAAAUUGUUGGAAUGGUUCAGUGACAAGUGUGUUAUUAAGAAGAAAUUUAUGACGCCUUAUUCAGAGUGAGUCACCGAAUCCCUGUGGUGAGAGGCGUGGGGAAGGGGCCCUCCGCUGAGACAAGCUAACUUGGGGACCUGGGCCCCAGCAGCCCU